GUUUUGAGUUAGGUUAGGUUUUGAGUUAGGUUAAGUUUUGAGUUAGGUUAGGUUUUGAGUUAGGUUAGGUUUUGAGUUAGGUUAGGUUUUGAGUUAGGUUAGGUUUUGAGUUAGGUUAGGUUUUGAGUUAGGUUAAGUUUUGAGUUAGGUUAGGUUUUGAGUUAGGUUAGGUUUUGAGUUAGGUUAGGUUUUGAGUUAGGUUAGGUUUUGAGUUAGGUUAGGUUUUGAGUUAGGUUAGGUUUUGAGUUAGGUUAGGUUUUGAGUUAGGUUAGGUUUUGAGUUAGGUUAGGUUUUGAGUUAGGUUAGGUUUUGAGUUAGGUUAGGUUUUGAGUUAGGUUAGGUUUUGAGUUAGGUUAGGUUUUGAGUUAGGU